CAAAAACAUAAACACACACCUUAAGCAAAAACCCGGCUUAAAGAAAAACUAAAUUUAAACGCAUUAAAAAUAAUGGAUCUAUUUUCAUUGUUGGUUCACUCAUUAAUCUCAGACAAAUAAUCCCCUUCCUCACUCAGGCUCACUCAUUGACCAGCACUAAAGACUAAAAGCCUUAACUGGCCAAGUCUAAAAAACGUUCAACACAGAAAACGUUACUCAUUUAUUUCCGGUAUUUUGAACAUAAAAGUGUGACUGUGAGUGAAUCGAUGUCGGUGUUUGCAGUGCCGAAAAAAAAAUUAUCCAAAACUUCAAUAAAGGAACAAAAAGCCAGGAAAGGUUAACGUACCAACCUGUUAACGAAAAAGGAGCAGAUAGAACAUCACAGAACGGGGAGAUUUGGGAUUACUUCUUACAAAACUGAAACCAAAUACUAAUAAUUUGCUGUCAAUUCAUCAAGUACAUACGUCUCAUUAAAAGUAUGAGUAUGAGAAAGUAUUGUUGAUUUACAUUUCAUAAUUCAUUGCUGAUUGUUUGUAAUAAUAAA